UUUGCUCCCAGCCCCAGUUCUUGGACUGAGGCCGAGUGAGUGUAAACCAGGGUAAGCUAACCCAGGAGUUUGCACAGAUUGAGGAGAACCUGCAAUCCCCUAACCCUUCUCACUCCAGGAAUGAUUUAGAGUGUGUCUCCCCCCAACCCCGUGGAUGGGGAGGUAUGUUUUUAUGUAAAACCAGGUGGAUUCAUAAUUAGUUCCUUGUGCAUCUCUGUAACAGGAUUUUUCUGCAUAUUGGGGGCACAUUUUGUUAUUUUUUUGGAUUGCUUUAGGGGACAACCUUUCUUCCCUGCUUCAUCAUGUGGAAGUGUGUUUUCACUCCAUUUUCUAAAGAGGCCACUGUAUUUGCCGAUAUUUAAGUGUGCUCUCAUGAGGACAGUGGUUUUCAGUGGUUGGCCCAGCCUGUUGCUGUUGCUGGAAGUCCUUCUUGGGUUGAAGCAGCACACUGCUUGCUGAAGCUGUAGGAGCCUUUUGUGAAAGGAAAUCUCACCUGGAACCUGCAUUGGUAAAGCGUUCAGAAGUGGAGCUGCUCUGCUGGGGGGUUACUGAGGGCUGAUGAGGGGUCGUCGAGGCACCCUGCUGGACCCCUGACCCACUCCUGUCGGGGGCAGCGUGGGAACCAGCUGAUAAGAUGACUGCUUGGGUCUCUGGGAGCUGUCGUCCAGGAGUUUGUAUCUACGAUGUCUGCAACGGGAGGCUUGUGGAGACCUUCCAGCCUUCCUUUCCUCUGCAGUGAUGACCGCAGAUGACAGCUGAUGAUCCAUCAGCCUGGGUUCCAGAAGAGAACCAUGAGAGCAGAGCCCCCAACUGAUAGGCAAUGAGCAUGUACCUCAAGCAAGAAAUAAACCUUUGUUUUAGGCCAAAAAACCAAAAACAAAAACAGCCUUAAUGAAUUUUGGAUUUUCCCCCAUUCUAAGCAUGUAUAAUGGUUUUGAGCCAA